AUAUCAGCAGACACAGAUGUUUUCCUUUCUUCAUAUGAUGAAGAUCAGGGACCCAAACGUUAGAAAAGCUAAUGAGGCACCAUUUGUCCCCAUUGGAAUGGCUGAUUUCAUAGCAAUUGUUGCAUAUGGGUUAUACAAGCUGAAAAGCAGGGGGAAUACUAAAAUAUACCUUCAUUUGAUCCACAUGUGUGUGGCAGCUCAAGGCUUUGUUGUAGGAGCAAUGACUGUUAGUAUGAGCUAUUCCACGUAUCAGGAAUUCUGGGAAAAACAUAAGCCUUAG
rnacentral:lncRNA from 1 species